rnacentral:rRNA from 1 species
GCAACGCUGGCGGCAGGCUAACCCUGCGUUAUAACGGAUCCUUCGGGAUUAGUGGCGGUACGGGUGAGUAACACGUGGGAACGUGCCCUUUGGUUCGGAACAACUCAGUGCAAACUUGAGCUAAUACCGGAUGUGCCCUUCGGGGGAAAGAUUUAUCGCCAUUGGAGCGGCCCGCGUCUGAUUAGCUAGUUGGUGGGGUAAAGGCCCACCAAGGCGACGAUCAGUAGCUGGUCUGAGAGGAUGAUCAGCCACAUUGGGACUGAGACACGGCCCAAACUCCUACGGGAGGCAGCAGUGGGGAAUCUUGCGCAAUGGGCGAAAGCCUGACGCAGCCAUGCCGCGUGAAUGAUGAAGGUCUUAGGAUUGUAAAAUUCUUUCACCGGGGACGAUAAUGACGGUACCCGGAGAAGAAGCCCCGGCUAACUUCGUGCCAGCAGCCGCGGUAAUACGAAGGGGGCUAGCGUUGCUCGGAAUUACUGGGCGUAAAGGGAGCGUAGGCGGACUGUUAAGUUAGAGGUGAAAGCCCAGGGCUCAACCUUGGAAUUGCCUUUGAUACUGGCA